rnacentral:rRNA from 1 species
GGACGAACGCUGGCGGCGUGCUUAACACAUGCAAGUUGAACGGUAUGACAUGGAAGCUUGCUGAAGUGUCAUAUAGUAGCGGACGGGUGAGUAAUGCAUGAGAAGCUGCCAUUGGAGGGGGACGAACAGUUGGAACGGCUGCUAAUACCCGAUUUGCCGGAAGGUGAAAGGGAGCGAUCCGCCCGAUGAGGUGCUCAUGUCCUAUCAGCUGGUUGGUGGGGUAACGGGCCUACCAAGGCGACGACGGGUAGCCGGCCUGAGAGGGUGAACGGCCACACUGGAACUGAGAUACGGUCCAGACUCCUACGGGAGGCAGCAGUGGGGAAUAUUGGGCAAAUGGGGGCAACCCUGACCCAGCGACGCCGCGUGAGGGAAGACGGCCUUCGGGUUGUAAACCUCUUUUGUACGGGAAGAAGGAAGUGACGGUACUGUACGAAUAAGUCCCGGCUAACUACGUGCCAGCCGCCGC